GGCCUGGUAGCGCAACGGUUAGUGCAUCUGCUGUACUUAUGUGUUAUUUUGUAGACCUUCAGCAGAAGGUCGUUCGACUCGGAGUUCAGGUCA